CAUGGCUUCGACGUGGGUUGCGAACCCCAAGGUGCAUGUCGAGGGGCAGAUCACCUCGUAAAUCCAGCUGCAAAUCAUAGUUGCCAACGAAGACAACUACGCACUCGCCGCUUAAUACCCGGUAGGGUGCCGUCUGACCGGAGCCGUGCUUAUGCGUCCGUCAUCAGGCGUCGACUCUCAUAAGCUCGCGUUGCGGCCCGCCCGGGGCCAAUUCGUCAGAACUCUUCCGGGCUCGCCGUUCGUCUUCCCUGCCCGUCGGGUAGCGCGCGGUUAAAUCAAUAGACGUGGAUACACAUGUAGAGCCGAGGGCGGAGAGCUUGCGGACGCGGGUUCGAUCA
rnacentral:tmRNA from 1 species